rnacentral:rRNA from 1 species
UACAGAGGGUGCGAGCGUUGUCCGGAAUCACUGGGCGUAAAGGGCGCGUAGGUGGUGGCUUAAGCGUGCGGUGAAAGCUCGGAGCUCAACUCCGAGUCGGCCGUGCGAACUGGGCUCACUGGAGCAUAGUAGAGGCAGGUGGAAUUCCGGGUGUAGCGGUGGAAUGCGCAGAUAUCAGGAGGAACACCGAUGGCGAAGGCAGUGUUCUGGGCCAGUACUGACGCUGAGGAGCGAAAGCGUGGGGAGCAAACAGG